rnacentral:snRNA from 13 species
AUUCUUAUGAAUAUACUGCAGGGCCUUCAUCAAGACCCAGUGAACAAUUUUUGGGACCCUAUUCUUUGAAUAGGGUA